UUGAUCUUGUGUUCAAGGCAAAAGGAAAAAGGAUGAGGUUGGUGGGAUUAGCAGGGGGCAAAAAUGCAUGAGAAACUGAGAGAGGGCCAAAAGGAAGCAAGAGGAGAGUUUGAAGAAACGAGAAAAGAGUCAUGCCAAACUAAAAGAGGAAACUAAUAUAAUCUUUCUGCAGAAUGCUGCAGAGCAACAUCGUCUGGAUCUGAAACAUAAGAUCAAGCCGCAGUUGGUUUGCUGCACUCUGCUGGGAGAUUAGAUUAGUUUCCUCUUCUAGUUUGACAGCCUCUUGUCUUAUUUCCUCAAACUUCUCUCUGACUUCCUUUUGCCCCUCUCUUAUGCGUUUUUGUCCCCUGCUAAUCUCACCCAUCUUGUUACUUUUUCCCAUCAGACAGUAAUUCAGAGAUUUAAAAUGGCAUGGUUGGUUUUUCUGACACCAAUUAACCUGCCAUCUUGGUUCCGAAGCUGAAAUUCCAUUUCCAUAAUUACUAAUUAAUCAGGGAAGAGUAAUUUUCUGUGAAAGCAAUGUUUUCUUUGCGGGUUUACUUCACAUGGAAUAAGCAACAAGAAAGAGGAUGGACUCUGGUAAAAGGACACCGCAGAGGCACAAUUGCUCCGCAGUUGUCUUUUUUCCUGCGAUAACUUCAGUCAACUCGUGCCAGCUGUUCGCUGAACAAGAGAUAGAAGGUGGCCUACUUCGGAGAGACAAAGGGCAAGUGAGGAAGCAGUCCAAUUGGGCUGCCAAGUGACAAGAGACAGGUGAUCCACCGACCAACAAAAAAUUCUACUGGGAUCCAAUUUAUUAUUACCGGUUUGUCACUGUAGCUGCGGCUGCUGCUAGAAAUAAAUGCAGGAUUGACGUGUUUGGUUAAAUUGAAUUAUACUUUUAUUUUAUAUGAAUCCCACUCAAAAAUUGAGGUUCAAUUUCA